GUUUAAGCGUGUAGGUGUGUGUUCCAGGUAAAUCCGGUUCACUUUAACACUGAGGCGUGAUGACGAGGCGCUACGGUGCUGAAGCAACAAAUGCCCUGCUUCCAGGAAAAGCCUCUAAGCAUCAGGUAACAUCAAAUCGUACCCCAAACCGACACAGGUGGUCAGGUAGAGAAUACCAAGGCGCUUGAGAGAACUCGGGUGAAGGAACUAGGCAAAAUGGUGCCGUAACUUCGGGAGAAGGCACGCUGACACGUAGGUGAAGUGAUUUACUCAUGGAGCUGAAGUCAGUCGAAGAUACCAGCUGGCUGCAACUGUUUAUUAAAAACACAGCACUGUGCAAACACGAAAGUGGACGUAUACGGUGUGACGCCUGCCCGGUGCCGGAAGGUUAAUUGAUGGGGUCAGCGCAAGCGAAGCUCCUGAUCGAAGCCCCGGUAAACGGCGGCCGUAACUAUAACGGUCCUAAGGUAGCGAAAUUCCUUGUCGGGUAAGUUCCGACCUGCACGAAUGGCGUAAUGAUGGCCAGGCUGUCUCCACCCGAGACUCAGUGAAAUUGAACUCGCUGUGAAGAUGCAGUGUACCCGCGGCAAGACGGAAAGACCCCGUGAACCUUUACUAUAGCUUGACACUGAACAUUGAGCCUUGAUGUGUAGGAUAGGUGGGAGGCUUUGAAGUGUGGACGCCAGUCUGCAUGGAGCCGACCUUGAAAUACCACCCUUUAAUGUUUGAUGUUCUAACGUGGACCCGUGAUCCGGGUUGCGGACAGUGUCUGGUGGGUAGUUUGACUGGGGCGGUCUCCUCCUAAAGAGUAACGGAGGAGCACGAAGGUUGGCUAAUCCUGGUCGGACAUCAGGAGGUUAGUGCAAUGGCAUAAGCCAGCUUGACUGCGAGCGUGACGGCGCGAGCAGGUGCGAAAGCAGGUCAUAGUGAUCCGGUGGUUCUGAAUGGAAGGGCCAUCGCUCAACGGAUAAAAGGUACUCCGGGGAUAACAGGCUGAUACCGCCCAAGAGUUCAUAUCGACGGCGGUGUUUGGCACCUCGAUGUCGGCUCAUCACAUCCUGGGGCUGAAGUAGGUCCCAAGGGUAUGGCUGUUCGCCAUUUAAAGUGGUACGCGAGCUGGGUUUAGAACGUCGUGAGACAGUUCGGUCCCUAUCUGCCGUGGGCGCUGGAGAACUGAGGGGGGCUGCUCCUAGUACGAGAGGACCGGAGUGGACGCAUCACUGGUGUUCGGGUUGUCAUGCCAAUGGCACUGCCCGGUAGCUAAAUGCGGAAGAGAUAAGUGCUGAAAGCAUCUAAGCACGAAACUUGCCCCGAGAUGAGUUCUCCCUGAGACUUUAGGUCUCCUGAAGGAACGUUGAAGACGACGACGUUGAUAGGCCGGGUGUGUAAGCGCAGCGAUGCGUUGAGCUAACCGGUACUAAUGAACCGUGAGGCUUAACCUUACA
rnacentral:rRNA from 1 species